GGAGGGGUGCGAGCGUUGUCCGGAUUCACUGGGCGUAAAGCGCGCGUAGGGCGGUUUUGUAAGUCACCUGUGAAAUCCCGGGGGGCUCAACUCCGGGGCUGCAGGUGAUACUGCAGAGCUAGAGCUCGGUAGAGGCAAGUGGAAUUCCCGGUGUAGCGGUGGAAUGCGUAGAUAUCGGGAAGAACACCAGUGGCGAAGGCGGCUUGCUGGGCCGAUGCUGACGCUGAGGCGCGAAAGCGUGGGGAGCAAACAGGAUUAGAUACCCUGGUAGUCCACGCCGUAAACGAUGGGUACUAGGCGUCGGGGGGAGCGACCCCUUCGGUGCCGUCGCUAACGCACUAAGUACCCCGCCUGGGGAGUACGGCCGCAAGGCUG
rnacentral:rRNA from 1 species